rnacentral:rRNA from 1 species
AGUGAACGCUGGCGGUAGGCCUAGCACAUGCAAGUCGAACGGCAGCACAGUAAGAGCUUGCUCUUACGGGUGGCGAGUGGCGGACGGGUGAGGAAUACAUCGGAAUCUACUUUUUCGUGGGGGAUAACGUAGGGAAACUUACGCUAAUACCGCAUACGACCUACGGGUGAAAGCAGGGGAUCUUCGGACCUUGCGCGAUUGAAUGAGCCGAUGUCGGAUUAGCUAGUUGGCGGGGUAAAGGCCCACCAAGGCGACGAUCCGUAGCUGGUCUGAGAGGAUGAUCAGCCACACUGGAACUGAGAAACGGUCCAGACUCCUACGGGAGGCAGCAGUGGGGAAUAUUGGACAAUGGGCGCAAGCCUGAUCCAGCCAUACCGCGUGGGUGAAGAAGGCCUUCGGGUUGUAAAGCCCUUUUGUUGGGAAAGAAAAGCAGCAGGUUAAUACCCCGCUGUUCUGACGGUACCCAAAGAAUAAGCACCGGCUAACUUCGUG